CAUUACUGAAUUGUCAACACGAGUUGUUGCUGGCCCCCAAACCGGGGGCAUGUGCACACUCUGUUUACACAUCCACCCACACCUGUGCACAAUCUGUAGUUCUAUGGCCUGGGAGACUUGGUCCCCUUGCUGUGGUUCUAUGUUUUUACACACACACUACCAUAAAGUCUCAUGGAAUGUUUGCCGCGUUUAACGCAAUACAAUACAACUUUCAGCAACGGAUCUCUUGGCUCUCGCAUCGAUGAAGAACGCAGCGAAAUGCGAUAAGUAAUGUGAAUUGCAGAAUUCAGUGAAUCAUCGAAUCUUUGAACGCACCUUGCGCCCUUUGGCUAUUCUGAAGGGCAUGCCUGUUUGAGUAUCAUGAACACCUCAACUGCUCAUGGUUUGCCAUGAUGAGCUUGGACUUUGGGGGUCUUGCCGGCCUAUGGUUGGCUCCUCUCAAAUGGAUCAGCUUGCCAGUGUUUGGUGGCACCACAGGUGUGAUAAAUAUCUACGCUUGCGGUUUUCCACCAUGUAACCUUCAGCAAUGGAGGUUCGCUGGAGCUCACAAAUGUCUCUCCUCAGAGAGGACAGCUUUUUGAACAUUUGAUCUCAAAUCAGGUAGGAUUACCCGCUGAACUUAA
rnacentral:rRNA from 1 species